GCGGCCUAUCAGCUUGUUGGUGAGGUAAAGGCUCACCAAGGCAACGACGGGUAGCCGGCCUGAGAGGGCGACCGGCCACACUGGGACUGAGACACGGCCCAGACUCCUACGGGAGGCAGCAGUGGGGAAUAUUGGGCAAUGGAGGAAACUCUGACCCAGCGACGCCGCGUGCGGGAUGAAGGCCUUCGGGUUGUAAACCGCUUUCAGUAGGGAAGAAGCGAAAGUGACGGUACCUACAAAAGAAGCACCGGCUAACUAUGUGCCAGCAGCCGCGGUAAUACAUAGGGUGCAAGCGUUGUCCGGAAUUAUUGGGCGUAAAGAGCUCGUAGGUCGUUUGUUACGUCGGAUGUGAAAACCUGAGGCUCAACCUCAGGCCUGCAUUCGAUACGGGCAAACUAGAGUUUGGUAGGGGAGACUGGAAUUCCU
rnacentral:rRNA from 1 species